rnacentral:rRNA from 2 species
UACGUAGGUCACAAGCGUUGUCCGGAUUUAUUGGGCGUAAAGGGAGCGCAGGCGGUUUGUUAAGUCUGAUGUGAAAGCCCACGGCUCAACCGUGGAACGGCAUUGGAAACUGGCAAACUUGAGUAUAGAAGAGGAAAGUGGAAUUCCAUGUGUAGCGGUGAAAUGCGUAGAUAUAUGGAGGAACACCAGUGGCGAAGGCGACUUUCUGGUCUAUAACUGACGCUGAGGCUCGAAAGCGUGGGGAGCAAACAGG